AAAGAAUCUUCCCUCUUCUCCCCACCAUUGGUCACUUAAUGGCAUUCCAUCUUACCUUUUACAUUCCUCGCAAGGAAUCAACCUCAGCAAGUUGAAAAACCUCAAGGAAAAUUUGUUCAAAUUGUUAAAUUGAACUCAACAGGUUUUUGCAUUUCACCACAAAAGACAUAACAUGAUAAAUGAGUUGAAGCUCGAGUGUCUGUCUAAAGAAACAAAUUUCAUUUGCAGUUGCUACCAUGACAAUUUUAGAAAUUUCUAGGUUCUCAUCUUUUUAGUUUAAAAGAACUUGUUAACCAGGUAAAACAAAUCCUUACUAUCUGAAAUAGAUAGAGCAAACCAGAGCCAUGCCUGAUGAAAUGUACAAUAAAGGAA
rnacentral:misc_RNA from 1 species